rnacentral:rRNA from 3 species
ACGGGAGGCAGCAGUGAGGAAUAUUAGGCAAUGGGGGAAACCCUGACCUAGCGACGCCGCGUGAAGGAUGAAGGUUUUCGGAUUGUAAACUUCUUUUAUGCAGGACGAUAGUGACGGUACUGCAUGAAUAAGCCACGGCUAACUACGUGCCAGCAGCCGCGGUAAUACGUAGGUGGCAAGCGUUGUCCGGAUUUACUGGGUGUAAAGGGCGAGUAGGCGGGCUUGCAAGUCAGAUGUGAAAUACCGGGGCUCAACCCCGGGGCUGCAUUUGAAACUGUAAGUCUUGAGUGAUGGAGAGGCAGGCGGAAUUCCCAGUGUAGCGGUAAAAUGCAUAGAGAUUGGGAAGAACACCAGUGGCGAAGGCGGCCUGCUGGACAUUAACUGACGCUGAGGAGCGAAAGUGUGGGGAGCAAACAGGAUUAGAUACCCUGGUA